GUCUACGGCCAUGCUACCCUGAACAAGCCCGAUCCUGUCUGAUCUCAGAAGCGAAGCAGAGUCGGGCCUGGUUAGUACUUGCAUGAGAGACCACCUAGGAAGACCAGGUGCUGUAGGCG
rnacentral:rRNA from 1 species